rnacentral:lncRNA from 10 species
GUAAAUGGGUCAUCGUGAGUAUGCCUUUGUCAUGGGAGGUUACCAGAGUUAAAGGGGAAAAUGGAAAGCUCUUUGCACAGGACUUCGCAUGCCUUGGCCAGGGGACGUGUUCUGGAGGAACAUCAUGGGGGCUGAAGGCAGAGGAGCGUCCAAGCAGGGGGCCUACAGCCAGUCCCCUGAUGACCUACCUUGAACCUCAUCACUGCAGACUUGGAAUUCGUGAGACCUUUGACUGCAAUAGGCACAAAGAACACUGACAGCCGAAGGAGAUUCAAGGAGGCCAGCAUGCUGAAGGCCUGGAUAAGAAGGGGAGGAGGUGGUGAGGGUCGUGGCCCUUCCUGCUUCCUCCAUUCCCUGUCACCCGCAUCCCUGAGCCACAUCCUCAGCAUCCAACAAGCAGUUGCUUCAUCCAACAGAGGCUAAGCUAGUGUUUGGAGGAGACUGGAAAAAGCUGGGGAAAGAGCACUCGUCCUGGAGUCUUAGAGUCAAAGGCCUAGUCCCUGUUGCAGCUUAGCCACUGACAUCUCUAGCUUUGGGCAGGUUGCCCCUACCACAGCCCAGUUUCCCCAUUGGCAUAGUGAGAAAAAUCAUAAAGUGUAUACAGGAAUAAAGUUGGGAA